rnacentral:rRNA from 1 species
GACGAACGCUGGCGGCGUGCCUAAUACAUGCAAGUAGAACGCACAGUUUAUACCGUAGCUUGCUACACCAUAGACUGUGAGUUGCGAACGGGUGAGUAACGCGUAGGUAACCUGCCUGGUAGCGGGGGAUAACUAUUGGAAACGAUAGCUAAUACCGCAUAAUAUUAAUUAUUGCAUGAUAAUUAAUUGAAAGGUGCAAUUGCACCACUACCAGAUGGACCUGCGUUGUAUUAGCUAGCAGGUGAGGUAACGGCUCACCUAGGCGACGAUACAUAGCCGACCUGAGAGGGUGAUCGGCCACACUGGGACUGAGACACGGCCCAGACUCCUACGGGAGGCAGCAGUAGGGAAUCUUCGGCAAUAGACGAAAGUCUGACCGAGCAACGCCGCGUGAGUGAAGAAGGUUUUCGGAUCGUAAAGCUCUGUUGUAAGAGAAGAACGGGUGUGAGAGUGGAAAGUUCACACUGUGACGGUAUCUUACCAGAAAGGGACGGCUAACUACGUG